UUAAAUUGAAGAGUUUGAUCAUGGCUCAGAUUGAACGCUGGCGGCAGGCCUAACACAUGCAAGUCGAACGGUAACAGGAAGCAGCUUGCUGCUUCGCUGACGAGUGGCGGACGGGUGAGUAAUGUCUGGGAAACUACCGGAUGGAGGGGGAUGACUACCGGAAACGGUAGCUAAUACCGCAUAAUGUCGCAGGACCAACGGGGGGGACCUUCGGCCCUCAUGCCAUCGGACGGGCCCAGAUGGGAU
rnacentral:rRNA from 1 species